UAGCCUUGACAUUGAUAGAAUACACCAGAGAUGGAGUAGUGCCUUUCGGGGAACUUGAAAACAGGUGCUGCACGGCUGUCGUCAGCUCGUGUCGUGAGAUGUUGGGUUAAGUCCCGCAACGAGCGCAACCCUCGUCCUUAGUUGCCAGCAGGUUAAGCUGGGCACUCUAAAGAGACUGCCUUCGUAAGGAGGAGGAAGGUGGGGACGACGUCAAGUCAUCAUGGCCCUUAUGGCUAGGGCUACACACGUGCUACAAUGGGGCGUACAGAGUGUUGCGAUACCGCGAGGUGGAGCUAAUCACUUAAAGCGUCUCUCAGUUCGGAUAGCAGUCUGCAACUCGACUGCUUGAAGCUGGAAUCACUAGUAAUCGUAGAUCAGCAAUGCUACGGUGAAUACGUUCCCGGGUCU
rnacentral:rRNA from 1 species